UACAGAGGUCUCAAGCGUUGUUCGGAUAUACUGGGCGUAAAGCGCACGUAGGCGGCGCAGUAAGUCAGGGGUGAAAUCCCGGGGCUCAACCCCGGAACUGCCCUUGAAACUGCAGUGCUAGAAUCUUGGAGAGGCGAGUGGAAUUCCGAGUGUAGAGGUGAAAUUCGUAGAUAUUCGGAAGAACACCAGUGGCGAAGGCGACUCGCUGGACAAGUAUUGACGCUGAGGUGCGAAAGCGUGGGGAGCAAACAGG
rnacentral:rRNA from 1 species